CGGCUGCUAUAAUGCAGUCGAGCGGACAGAAGGAGCUUGCUCCCGGAUGUUAGCGGCGGACGGGUGAGUAACACGUGGGUAACCUGCCUGUAAGACUGGGAUAACUCCGGGAAACCGGAGCUAAUACCGGAUAGUUCCUUGAACCGCAUGGUUCAAGGAUGAAAGACGGUUUCGGCUGUCACUUACAGAUGGACCCGCGGCGCAUUAGCUAGUUGGUGAGGUAACGGCUCACCAAGGCGACGAUGCGUAGCCGACCUGAGAGGGUGAUCGGCCACACUGGGACUGAGACACGGCCCAAACUCCUACGGGAGGCAGCAAUAGGGAAUCUUCCGCAAUGGACGAAAGUCUGACGGAACAACGCCGCGUGAGUGAUGAAGGUUUUCGGAUCGUAAAGCUCUGUUGUUAGGGAAGAACAAGUGCAAGAGUAACUGCUUGCACCUUGACGGUACCUAACCAGAAAGCCACGGCUAACUACGUGCCAGCAGCCGCGGUAAUACGUAAGUGGCAAGCGUUGUCCGGAAUUAUUGGGCGUAAAGGGCUCGCAGGCGGUUUCUUAAGUCUGAUGUGAAAGCCCCCGGCUCAACCGGGGAGGGUCAUUGGAAACUGGGAAACUUGAGUGCAGAAGAGGAGAGUGGAAUUCCACGUGUAGCGGUGAAAUGCGUAGAGAUGUGGAGGAACACCAGUGGCGAAGGCGACUCUCUGGUCUGUAACUGACGCUGAGGAGCGAAAGCGUGGGGGAGCGAACAGGAUUAGAUACCCUGGUAGUCCACGCCGUAAACGAUGAGUGCUAAGUGUUAGGGGUUUCCGCCCCUUAGUGCUGCAGCUAACGCAUUAAGCACUCCGCCUGGGAGUACGUCGCAGACUGAAACUCAAAGGAAUUGACGGGGGCCCGCACAAGCGUGGAGCAUGUGGUUUAUUCGAAGCACGCGAAGACUUACCAAGUCUUGACAUCUCUGACACUCUAGAGAUAGGGCUUUCCCUUCGGGACAGAUGACAGGUGUGCAUGAUUGUCGUCAGCUCUGUCGUGAGAUGUUGGG
rnacentral:rRNA from 1 species